UGGGGAAUAUUGGACAAUGGGCGAAAGCCUGACGCAGCGACGCCGCGUGGGUGAUGAAGGCCUUCGGGUUGUAAAGCCCUGUGGAGGGGGAAGAAUAAGUCAUGGCUAAUAUCCAUGAUGAUGACGGUACCCCUUUAGCAAGCACCGGCUAACUCUGUGCCAGCAGCCGCGGUAAGACAGAGGGUGCAAACGUUGUUCGGAAUUACUGGGCGUAAAGCGCGUGUAGGCGGCUUGGCAAGUCGGGUGUGAAAGCCCUGGGCUCAACCCAGGAAGUGCACUCGAAACUGCUUCGCUUGAGUAUCGGAGAGGAAAGCGGAAUUCUCGGUGUAGAGGUGAAAUUCGUAGAUAUCGAGAGGAACACCGGUGGCGAAGGCGGCUUUCUGGACGAUUACUGACGCUGAGACGCGAAAGCGUGGGGAGCAAACAGGAUUAGAUACCCCCGUAGUCCCUGAGCGGGCUGGCAAGGCGCAU
rnacentral:rRNA from 1 species